rnacentral:rRNA from 1 species
AUUGAACGCUGGCGGCAGGCUUAACACAUGCAAGUCGAGCGGGGGAAGGUAGCUUGCUACCGGACCUAGCGGCGGACGGGUGAGUAAUGCUUAGGGAUCUGCCUAUCAGUGGGGGACAACAUCUCGAAAGGGAUGCUAAUACCGCAUACGUCCUACGGGAGAAAGCAGGGAAUCUUCGGACCUUGCGCUAAUAGAUGAGCCUAAGUCGGAUUAGCUAGUUGGUGGGGUAAAGGCCUACCAAGGCGACGAUCUGUAGCGGGUCUGAGAGGAUGAUCCGCCACACUGGGACUGAGACACGGCCCAGACUCCUACGGGAGGCAGCAGUGGGGAAUAUUGGACAAUGGGGGGAACCCUGAUCCAGCCAUGCCGCGUGUGUGAAGAAGGCCUUAUGGUUGUAAAGCACUUUAAGCGAGGAGGAGGCUACUCUAGUUAAUACCUAGGGAUAGUGGACGUUACUCGCAGAAUAAGCACCGGCUAACUCUGUGCCAGCCGCCGCCGUAA